rnacentral:rRNA from 1 species
UACGUAGGGUGCAAGCGUUUGUCCGGAAUUAUUGGGCGUAAAGAGCUCGUAGGCGGUCUGUCGCGUCUGCUGUGAAAACUCGGGGCUUAACCCCGGGCCUGCAGUGGGUACGGGCAGGCUAGAGUGCGGUAGGGGAGACUGGAAUUCCUGGUGUAGCGGUGAAAUGCGCAGAUAUCAGGAGGAACACCGGUGGCGAAGGCGGGUCUCUGGGCCAUUACUGACGCUGAGGAGCGAAAGCGUGGGGAGCGAACAGG